rnacentral:rRNA from 1 species
UACGAAGGGAGCUAGCGUUGUUCGGAAUCACUGGGCGUAAAGCGCACGUAGGCGGAUGUGUCAGUCAGGGGUGAAAUCCCGGAGCUCAACUUCGGAACUGCCUCUGAUACAGCACGUCUUGAGUCCGAUAGAGGUGGGUGGAAUUCCUAGUGUAGAGGUGAAAUUCGUAGAUAUUAGGAAGAACACCGGUGGCGAAGGCGGCCCACUGGAUCGGUACUGACGCUGAGGUGCGAAAGCCAGGGGAGCAAACGGG